rnacentral:piRNA from 1 species
UAGAGGUGAUCUAGCCUGUGAGU